rnacentral:rRNA from 2 species
AACGGAGGGUGCAAGCGUUGUUCGGAAUUACUGGGCGUAAAGCGCGUGCAGGUGGUUUUUUAAGUUUCGUGUGAAAUCCCAUGGCUUAACCAUGGAACGGCACGGAAAACUGGAAGGCUUGAGUACGGGAGAAGAGGGCGGAAUUCCCAGUGUAGAGGUGAAAUUCGUAGAUAUUGGGAGGAACACCGGUGGCGAAAGCGGCUCUCUAGACCGAUACUGACGCUCAUACGCGAGAGCGUGGGUAGCAAACAGG